rnacentral:tRNA from 1 species
AGUCUUAUAUUCAAAAAAUGAUAUAAAAUUGCAAAUUUUAUGGUAUAAAGUAAUUAUUAAGGCUU